rnacentral:rRNA from 1 species
ACUCCUACGGGAGGCAGCAGUGGGGGAUAUUGCACAAUGGGCGCAAGCCUGAUGCAGCCAUGCCGCGUGUGUGAAGAAGGCCUUCGGGUUGUAAAGCACUUUCAGCGGGGAGGAAGGGUCACUAGUUAACACCUAGUGGCAUUGACGUUACUCGCAGAAGAAGCACCGGCUAACUCCGUGCCAGCAGCCGCGGUAAUACA